UACAGGGGGGGCGAGCGUUGUUCGGAAUUACUGGGCGUAAAGGGUUUGUAGGUGGCUUGCUAAGUCAGACGUGAAAUCCCUCAGCUUAACUGGGGACGUGCGGAAGAAACUGCAAGGCUCGAGUCCGGGAGAGGGGGGUGGAAUUCCCAGUGUAGCGGUGAAAUGCGUAGAUAUUGGGAGGAACACCGGUGGCGAAGGCGGCCCCCUGGACCGGUACUGACGCUGAGGCGCGAAAGCGUGGGUAGCAAACGGG
rnacentral:rRNA from 1 species